rnacentral:misc_RNA from 1 species
AGACACGGUAAGGACGCGUCGAUGAGCCCCUUAUCUGCCAAUCCGUCUACCGACAUCAUCCUGACCGCAUCGCGUUCUUCAGAUUCGAUAGGUAUUGCUGCGAAAGCCUCAUGCUUUUGACCCACGAUCCUCGCGUAACCAAUCGAUUGUUCACCGAUGGCGGCGUUAAGACAUCGAAAGCGGCCACCGUUCAGCCUGGCAUUGGCCUCCAGCCGCGUUGCGUUUGCUGGAGCAGCCUCGAUCGCCAGCGCCGAUUGCUUGCCGAACGGCUCGCUGGUCGCGAGCACAGACCAGUAUCCGAAAUUCGCGCCGCAAUCGACUAGAGUGUA